GACGAACGCUGGCGGCGUGCUUAACACAUGCAAGUCGAACGAAGAGCGAUGGAAGCUUGCUUCUAUCAGUCUUAGUGGCGAACGGGUGAGUAACGCGUAAUCAACCUCCCCUUCAGAGGGGGACAACAGGUGGAAACGACUGCUAAUACCGCAUACUAUCUAAUCUCGGCAUCGAGGAGAGAAGAAAGGUGGCCUCUCCAUGUAAGGUAUGACUCAAGGCGGGGAUUGCGUCUGAUUAGCUAGUUGGAAGGGUAACGGCCCACCAAGGCGACGAUCAGUAGCCGGUCUGAGAGGAUGAACGGCCACAUUGGGACUGAGACACGGCCCAGACUCCUACGGGAGGCAGCAGUGGGGAAUCUUCCGCAAUGGACGAAAGUCUGACGGAGCAACGCCGCGUGAGUGAUGACGGCCUUCGGGUUGUAAAGCUCUGUUAUUCGGGACGAAAGGCCUUCUUGCGAAUAGUGAGAAGGAUUGACGUUACCGGAAUAGAAAGCCACGGCUAACUACUU
rnacentral:rRNA from 1 species